rnacentral:rRNA from 3 species
AAAUUGAAGAGUUUGAUCAUGGCUCAGAUUGAACGCUGGCGGCAGGCCUAACACAUGCAAGUCGAACGGUAACAGGAAGCAGCUUGCUGCUUCGCUGACGAGUGGCGGACGGGUGAGUAAUGUCUGGGAAACUGCCUGAUGGAGGGGGAUAACUACUGGAAACGGUGGCUAAUACCGCAUAACGUCGCAAGACCAAAGAGGGGGACCUUCGGGCCUCUUGCCAUCAGAUGUGCCCAGAUGGGAUUAGCUAGUUGGUGAGGUAACGGCUCACCAAGGCGACGAUCCCUAGCUGGUCUGAGAGGAUGACCAGCCACACUGGAACUGAGACACGGUCCAGACUCCUACGGGAGGCAGCAGUGGGGAAUAUUGCACAAUGGGCGCAAGCCUGAUGCAGCCAUGCCGCGUGUAUGAAGAAGGCCUU